rnacentral:rRNA from 1 species
AUUGAACGCUGGCGGCAGGCCUAACACAUGCAAGUCGAACGAGUGGCGGACGGGUGAGUAAUGUCUGGGAAACUGCCUGAUGGAGGGGGAUAACUACUGGAAACGGUAGCUAAUACCGCAUACCAUCGGAUGUGCCCAUGUGGGAUUAGCUAGUAGGUGGGGUAAAGGCUCACCUAGGCGACGAUCCCUAGCUGGUCUGAGAGGAUGAACGGCCACACUGGAACUGAGACACGGUCCAGACCACUACGGGAGUCAGCAGUGGGGAAUAUUGCACAAUGGGCGCAAGCCUGAUGCAGCCAGGCCGCGUGUAUGAAGAAGGCCUUCGGGUUUUAAAGUACUUUCAGCGGGGAGGCGUUACCCGCAGAAGAAGCACCGGCUAACUCCUUGCCAGCAGCCGCGGUAGUC